CAACCCCAUGGACUGUAGCUCACCAGGCCCACGUCUCCUGCACUGCAGGCCGAUUCUUUGCUAUCUGAGCCACCAGGGAAGCCCCCAAUAUAGGAAAAAGUUAAAAAAAAAAAAAAAAGUGGAAGUCAACCAGAAGAUUAAUAUACUGCAUCCGGAUACAAUGUUCUCUGUCCUACCUCAGAGAGGGUGCAGCCUGGAAGGGUCUCAGCAGCCUGAAUGA
rnacentral:lncRNA from 1 species